GAUGAAGAACGCAGCGAAAUGCGAUACUUGGUGUGAAUUGCAGAAUCCCGUGAACCAUCGAGUCUUUGAACGCAAGUUGCGCCUCAAGCCUUUAGGUUGAGGGCACGUCUGCCUGGGCGUCACAUAUCGUUGCCUGAUGCCAGUUUCCUCGGGAUGGGUGACUGUGCAGGGCGAAUGAUGGCUUCCCGUGAGCAUUGUUGCCUCAUGGUUGGUUGAAAAUUGAGUCCUUGGUAGGGAGCGCCGUGAUAGAUGGUGGUUGAGUGACGAACGAGACCCAAUCAUGUGAGACCCCUACCGAAUUUGGCCUUCAUGACCCACAUGCGUCUUUGGAACGCUCAUGACGAGACCUCAGGUCAGGCGGGGCUACCCGCUGAGUUUAAGCAUAUCAAUAAGCGGAGGA
rnacentral:misc_RNA from 1 species